rnacentral:lncRNA from 1 species
GCAUAUGGAACUCCCCAGGCUAGGAGUCGAAUCAGAGCUGUAGCUGCCAGCCUCCACCACAGCCACAGCAAGGCAGGAUCCAAGCCAGAUCUGCAACCUACACCACGGCUCAAGGCAACGCCAGAUCCUUAACCCACUGAGUGAGGCCAGGGAUCAAGCCUGCACCCUUGUGGAUACUAGUUGGACUCUACCGCUAAGUCACAUGGGAACUCCACUGUAGGCCUUCUUUAGAAUCCACACAUAAAUGACAGCAUAUGGCAUCGGCGUCUGUCUGGCUAACUUCACUUAGCAUGAUAAUUUCCAGGUCCAUCCAUGUUGCUGCAAAUGCCAUUACUGCCUUCCUUUUAAUGGCUGAGUAAUAUUCCGUUGUGUAUAUGCACCACAUCUUCUUGAUCCACCCCUCUGUCGAUGGACAUUUAGGUUGUUUCCAUGUCUUGGCUAUUGUAUUUACUGCUGCAAUAAACAUUUGGGUGUGUGUAUCUUGUUGAGUCAUGGUUUACUCUGGUAGAUGCCCAGGAGUGGGAUUGCUGGAUCAAAUGGUCAUUCUAUUUUUUUGUUUUGUUUUGUUUGAGGAAUCUCCAUACUGUUUGCCACAGUGGUUGCACCAAUUUCCAUUCCCACCAACAGUGUAGCAGGGUUCCCUUUCUUCCACACCCUCUCCAGAAUUUACUGUUUGUAGACCUUUUGAUGGUGGCCAUUCUGGCUGGUGGAAGGUGGAAGCUCAGAGAAGUUUUGAUUUACAUUUCUCUAAUAAUGAGUGAUUGCUGAACAUCUUUUCAUGUGGUUAUUUUGGCCAUCUGUAUAUCUCUUUGGAGAACUGUCUGUUUAGAGCUUCUGCCCAUUUUUGGACAGGGUUUUUUUGUUUUUUUGGUAUUGAGCUGCAGGAGGUGUUUAUACAUUUUGGAGAUUAAUCCCUUGUCAGUCACUUCCUUUGCAGAUAUUGCCCAUUCUGUGUGUUGGCUUUCGUUUUGUUCAGUUUCCUUUGCUGUGCAGAAACUUUCAGUCUCCCUGGCUCCCAUGUGCUUAUUGUUGUUUUAUGGGCAUUCCUCCAGGAGGUGGACCCGAGAAGACGUUGCUGGGCUUGUCAGAGAGCGCUUGGCCUCUGUUCAGCGCAAACGGGCUUCAGAGUCUACAGUCUUAUAUGGGGUCCUUAAUCCAUUUUUAGUUUGUUUUGUGCAUGCUGUUAGGGUUAGAUUAUCUACAGGGAGCUGUCCAGUUUUCCCAGCACCAUCCAUUGAAGGGACUUUCUUUCCUCUUCUUUGUUUUGGCCACACCCACGGCAUAUGGAGGUUCCCAGGAUAGGGGUCAAAUCAGAGCUGCAGCUGCCGGCCUACGCCAGAGCCACAGCAACCCCAGAUCCGAGCCGCGUCUGCGACCUACACCACAGCUCACGGCAAUGCCAGAUCCUUAACCCACGGAGCAAGGCCAGGAAUCGAACCCGCAACCUCAUGGUUCCUCGUCGGAUUCGUUAACCACUGCGCCACGAACUCCUCUUUUGUCUCUUUAGGUGGGUUUAUUCCUAAGUAUUUUAUUCUUUUUGUUGCAAUGGUAAAUGGGACUGUUCCCCUAAUUUCUCUUUCUAAUCUUUCGUUGUUACUACAUAGAAAUGCAGUCGAUUUCUGUGUAUUGAUUUUGUAUCCUGCGACCUUGCCAAGUUCACGGAUGAGCUCGAACAGUUUUCUGGGAGCGUCUUCAGGGUUUUCUAGGUUUAGCGUCUUGUCGUCUGCAAACAGGGGUAGUUCUACCUCCUCCUUCCUGAUUAGGACUCCUUGUGUUCCUUUCUCUGCUCUGACUGCCGUGGCCAGGACUUCAGAAACAACGUUGAAGAGCAGUGGCGAAAGAGCACAUCCUUGUCCUGUUCCUGAUCUCAGCGGGAACUCUUUCGGCUUUUCACCACUGAGAAUGAUGGGUGCUGUGGGUUUGUCCCAUGUGGCCUUUAUUAUGUUGAGGUAGGUUCCUGCGAUGCCCACUUUCUGGAGGGUUUUUUGAAUCAGAAAUGGGUGCUGGAUUUUGUCCAAAGCUUUUCCGCGUCUACGGAGAGGUUCGUGUGGUUAUUCUUCCGCUUGUUCACGGGUGGAUCCCAGGGACGGAGUUGCGGAUGUUGACGCCUCCUUGCGUAAAUCCCACUUGAUCAUGGUGGACAAUCCUUUGAAAGUGUGUUGGAUUCGGUUUGCUAGCACUUUGUUGAGAUUUCUGCAUCUACGUUCAUCAGUGAUAUCGGCCUGGAAUUUUCUCUGUGUGUGUGUGGUAUCUCUGUCUGGUUUUGGUAUCAGGGUGACGGUGGCCUCAUAGAACGCGUCUGGGAGUGUCCCUUCCUCUGCAGUUUUUUGGAAUCGUUUCAGAAGGAUAGAUGUUAACUCUCCUCUAAAGGUUGGAUGGAAUUCGCCUUGAAUCAUCACGUGGGUGGGAACUCUCACUCCUGUCGGAGAGCCUCUCUAUAUGGUCAUUUUCCAGUUGGUGGGUCACCCACCCAGUGGGUGUGGGGUUGCUGAUAGCACGAAAGCGCUCCUCCUCCUGUCCCGAUGUGGCUGCUUCUUUGUCUUUUUGUGUAGAGUAUCUUUUUUGGUGGUUUCUAGUCUAUGCGGCUGAUUGGUUGUUUAAGAAUUGGUUGUAAUUUUAUGGUUUUCAUGAGAGAUGAGCUCCAGUACUUCUGCUCCACCAUCUUAAUCCCGUCUCUCCUCUGGCCUCUGGUCUGAGAGCCAAGACCCCACACAUCACCUGGGAAUCCAGAGGGGGGCAGGGCCUGAGCACUUCCACCCCAGGCUCGGGCAGGCCUCAGCCAGCAGGUCCCAGCCCCCAACCCACCGGGGCCGCAUCACGCGCGGUCUACAGGAUUCUGGGGACCCACACCCGCUACUCCCUCGCAAGGCCAAGGCUGCAGAGGGGCCUCUAUUGUCCACAACACAGGGAGAACAGUGACUUCAAAACUGACCACGUUCCUGCCUCUCCCAGUCCAAUGUCCCAAAUCUAUAGCUUCCAUAGCAACGUCUGAAAAGACAAACAAAAUUCCUCUCCUCCUGCAUCUUAAAAGAAAAGGGAGUUCCCGCCGUGGUGUAGCAUAGCAGUUAAGGAACCCGCUUGUCUCUGUGGUGGCUCGGGUUCAAUCCCCAGCCUGCGCCCUGCAGACAGCACAGCACCCAGCCCAGGGCACAGGGAGAGGGCCUCCUCUCCCUACCGGUGAGGAGGUUUUGGUCCUACCCCAAACGCGAGAUGCCCAACUCCAACCUGCCGUUUGCUCCUCUUGGCACAAGGCCUGGACUGGCGCUGGCCUCUCCUCCCUGAGAACCACAGGGACGCCAUUUCAGGGCUGCAAGUACCAAACGGGUUCUCAGAGACGACACGCAUCUUCAGUCCGAGAAACUUCUGAGAUGAGCUCCCCGCCCACCCCCGAUUUUAAUCUAUUUUCCACACACCAAUUUCACUAGCUAAUUAUCCAAAGGGGUGGAGAGAAAAAGAAUGAAUCCUUUCAAUAAUCUCACAGAUUUCCUUUUCCCUCUUUUGUCUUUUUGUUUUUCUGCUUGGCAGAAAAAGGAGAGUUAGUUCCUAAAUUUGGAAAACACAAUUAAUAUCCAAAGUGGCCCCAUAAGUGACAUUUGAGGGACUGCGAACUAUCAGAACAGACUCUCCCUCCAUCUGCUACUUAACCCUUAACUGGCCUCUCUGCAAAGAAUAAAAUCAAAGGCACCACAUCCUUGCUGCUCCCUUGACCGGGAACUCUCUCAGCUACUGUAACCUCAUGGACGUGCGGCCACCAGACCAACGUGUCCCCUCCUCCACGCCCUCUAAGGAGCUGAUGCACACAUUCCCCUGAGGUGGCUCUGUGUGCCUGGCCACUCCCUGGGCCUGGACCUGAGACUGUGCUCGGAGUGGGCUUCCCGGAGGCCAAGGUCAGGGCCCGGCGUCUGCACAGCCCCGCCCAGCAGGGGCCCGCAAGGAGCCCAGGCUCUCAGAGACGCCAGGGGCCGCCGAGCACGUGCGGCAAGGGCCUUCAGGUCUCCCGCCCCAGCGCCAAAUCUCCCAGCUGAGACCCCGGACUCUCGGAUGAGAAAUCCCCCCUCAGUUUCUGGCCCGUGGGUGACGGAAAGCGAGGCGGCUCUUUCCUGGCGUCCCCAGACCGCGCGGGCGCGAGGCCCCUCCAGGAUCAGAGCCAGCACGGCCUGGCCUGGGCCACACCCCGAGGCCUCCCCUCGGACCUCCGCCUCCGGACCAGAGAGGCACCGGGCACCGAGGAAGCCCGAGGGGAGGCACGGGGCCGCCCGGACACGGCCCGGCCCACAGCCCCCGGCACCCGAAGCCUCUACAGAUCAAACCCCGCCAUCUGCACCCUGUCAGGUCCCGGAGGAAGACAAAAGCUCACCACGAUGCCACAGGCUCCUGUGCGCCCCAGAGCACCCAGCCGAAGCAGGGCUCUGUUCCGAGGGCAGAGACCAGGGAGUGGGGCCGCCCGACGCCCGAGGCUCUCGGGCUGCUCCCCCCAGGCAGGCACCGGUCCCUGAGGAACUCGGCAGGACCUCACCACACUCUGUUUCUGGCCCUGCCAAGGUGACACGAGCCUUCCGUGCAGAGCCCCCGCCUGGAACGGCAGUGCCUGGGGUGGGGGUGCGCAGGCAGGCGCCACACGGCUGCGCAGCCGACAGGUGAGGGGCCUGGGUACUCAGGUGCUUCCACGGACACGAGGCAGCAAGACGAGGCGCCUCUCAACCCUCAGCUGCAGGCUUGAAGCCAGCAGACGCCUGCUCCCGCCCCUUCCCUGCACCGAAAAGCCACGGCUCCACGAGCGAGCAGAAGGCCUCACUGGCAGAGGGGCGCACAGUAGGGACAGCGGGGCCACUGAACAUAAGGACCGUGCUGAGUGAGGACCAUGUUAAGAUCUCCUAAUCGGAUCCUACCAACCGCGAAAUGACAGUGUGACAAAACCAGGGGAGGGUGAAAAACGGCUAGAUGACACUCAGGCACCGCGAAGGGUCGACACCUUUCAAAACACAGUGGGAGUGGAGCGGGGAAGACGUCCCGGCAGGCUGGUCUGCCUUAAGACUCCUGGGCAACAACAGAAGAGCAAGAGGCAAAGGACAGAAAGAAGGCGGGGCCGCGGGCUGCCCGCGACCGUGGUGGCAGCGGGAUCCUAAGCUGUCUGCUCCUGAGCGGUGGGCACGUAAACCCCUGGUAAAUCCUAAUGGAGGCCGGGAUCUAAAACAAGCAGACAGCUGCCCCGACCAGAAACACUGUGCAAAGCAACGGUGCAGCCUCCACCCCACAAGCGCCAUGCCAGGCACGCAGGGACCUGGGCCCUGCCGCACGGCUGGCGUCGUGGUGAGGUGCGGCCUCAGCCCUGCCGUCCAGAUCCUGCUGGCUUCUCGUGGCCUCGCUGUCCUCCUGAGCAAGGAGGGACCUGUGAGGGGCCUGCCGCUGUGGAUGACACACCAGAGCCGAGGGCCAGCAGCUGUCAGUACUGUUCAAGCCGCUUGGAAAAGGUGCCACAUGCCAAGCACACGCCUCCCUGUCCAUCGCCCCACAAAUCUAAAGGUUCGAAGGCAAGUCCGGCCUGAAGCCAGCGCCUGCGCCUUGGCCAGUCCACGUGUCACGUCUUCCCCAGUGAACAGCAAGCAGACCCUCUGCCCCUGGGCCCACCUGUCCUCUACGACAACAGCAGCUAUUACUUUUUAAAAAAUCCUAUUAGUGCAAAAAGCACAGGCGUUCCAAAACCAGGGCGAGGCGGGUAGAGGCUUAUAUAUGUCAAUAUACGUCGAAUAAUAACUACCUAGUGUCAGUGAAGAACAAGGACACAAAAGAAAAAUGUCUUCUGCGGAAACACUGAGAACGCAUGUGCAGCAGGGAAGCUGGGGCACGUGCAGCCUUCACUUGGGGUCUGAACUUCACGGCACCAGGGGGAAGGGCCACCGUGCAGGGGGGUGGGGGGGGGCUAUGAACCACCACCCACACCAGCCAGGGGUCGGAGGACCCGCCCACAUCCUGUGGGCCUCAGGGCGCCUCCAGGGGUGGCACCAGGAUGCCUGAGAAAGGAAGCAAGGCCUCAAGGCGGGCAGUG